rnacentral:rRNA from 1 species
UGGGGAAUAUUGCACAAUGGGGGAAACCCUGAUGCAGCGACGCCGCGUGAACGAAGAAGUAUUUCGGUAUGUAAAGUUCUAUCAGCAGGGAAGAUAAUGACGGUACCUGACUAAGAAGCACCGGCUAAUUACGUGCCAGCAGCCGCGGUAACGCGUAAGGUGCGAGCGUUGUUCGGAAUCAUUGGGCGUAAAGGGCAUGUAGGCGGUCUGUCAAGCCAGGCGUGAAAGCCAGGGGCUCAACCCCUGAACUGCGCUUGGAACUGGCGGACUGGAGUCGCUGAGGGGGAACCGGAAUUCCUGGUGUAGGGGUGAAAUCUGUAGAUAUCAGGAAGAACACCGAUGGCGAAGGCAGGUUUCCAGCAGACGACUGACGCUGAGGUGCGAAGGUGCGGGGAGCAAACAGGAUUAGAUACCCUGGUAGU